rnacentral:rRNA from 1 species
UACGUAGGGUGCAAGCGUUAAUCGGAAUUACUGGGCGUAAAGCGUGCGCAGGCGGUUUUGUAAGUCUGUCGUGAAAGCCCCGGGCUCAACCUGGGAAUUGCAUUCGAUACUGGAUAGCUAGAGUUCGGCAGAGGGAAGCGGAAUUUCCGGUGUAGCGGUGAAAUGCGUAGAUAUCGGAAGGAACAUCAGUGGCGAAAGCGGCUUCCUGGACCAGAACUGACGAUCAGGCUCGAAAGCGUGGGGAGCAAACAGG